UCCAAAAAAUGGAGGAAGGUCCCGCCCGUGGCCCUGGUGCACUAAAGUUUAACGGCCGCGGUUAUUUUGACCGUGCAAAGGUAGCGCAAUCACUUGUCUCUUAAAUGGAGACCUGAUAUGAAUGGCAUAACGAGGGCUUAACUGUCUCCCCCUCCUAGUCAGUGAAAUUGAUUUUCCCGUGCAGAAGCGGGAAUAACACCAUAAAACAAGAAGACCCUGUGGAGCUUUAGACAAUAAAUAGCACCUGUAAAGACUUGCCUACACAUAAAAACAAAAGGUACCCCUAUUUUGUAUGUCUUCGGUUGGGGCGACCGCGGGGGACACAAAACCCCCAUGUGGAACAAGAACUUCCUCUUUAAAUCCAGAGCUGCCGCUCUAAGAAGCAGAAUAUCUGACCAAAAUGACCCGGUAAAUUUCCACCGAUCAACGAAACUAGUUACCCCAGGGAUAACAGCGCAAUCCCCUCCCAUAGCCCAUAUCGACGAGGGGGUUUACGACCUCGAUGUUGGAUCAGGACAUCCUAAUGGUGCAGUCGCUAUUAAGGGUUCGUUUGUUCAACGAUUAAAGUCCUACGUGAUCUGAGUUCAGACCAGGGGGAUCUGAGUUCAGACCGGAG
rnacentral:rRNA from 1 species